rnacentral:tRNA from 1 species
GCCUUCGUGGUCUAGUGGGCAACACGCUCGGCGCGUAACCGAGAGAUCCGUGGUUCGAUUCCCGGCGAAGGCG